rnacentral:rRNA from 1 species
UACGUAGGGGGCAAGCGUUGUCCGGAAUCACUGGGCGUAAAGCGCGCGCAGGCGGCUAUCUACGUCCGGGGUGAAAGCCCAGAGCUCAACUCUGGGACUGCCUUGGAUACGGGAUGGCUUGAGGAUCGGAGAGGCAAGGGGAAUUCCACGUGUAGCGGUGAAAUGCGUAGAGAUGUGGAGGAACACCUGUGGCGAAGGCGCCUUGCUGGCCGAUUUCUGACGCUGAGGCGCGAAAGCGUGGGGAGCGAACAGG